ACAUAUGCAAAUACAUCACAAUUAAUAUAAUCAGUGACUCGGUGAUUAGUGAGUCACUGAUUAUAUUAAUUGUGAUGUAUUUG
rnacentral:miRNA from 1 species